CAGUUCGGAUUGCAGUCUGCAACUCGAGUGCAUGAAGCUGGAAUCGCUAGUAAUCGCGGAUCAGAAUGCCGCGGUGAAUACGUUCCCGGGUCUUGUACACACCGCCCGUCACACCAUGGGAGCCGGUAACGCCCGAAGUCAGUGGCCCAACCGAGGAGGGGGGAGCUGCCGAAGGCGGGACUGGUAACUGGGGUGAAGUCGUAACAAGGUAAC
rnacentral:rRNA from 1 species